UGGGGAAUAUUGCACAAUGGGCGAAAGCCUGAUGCAGCAACGCCGCGUGAGUGAUGAAGGUCUUCGGAUUGUAAAGCUCUGUCUUUUGGGACGAUAAUGACGGUACCAAAGGAGGAAGCCACGGCUAACUACGUGCCAGCAGCCGCGGUAAUACGUAGGUGGCGAGCGUUGUCCGGAUUUACUGGGCGUAAAGGGUGCGUAGGCGGAUGUUUAAGUGAGAUGUGAAAUACCCGGGCUUAACUUGGGUGCUGCAUUUCAAACUGGAUAUCUAGAGUGCAGGAGAGGAGAAUGGAAUUCCUAGUGUAGCGGUGAAAAUGCGUAGAGAUUAGGAAGAACACCAGUGGCGAAGGCGAUUCUCUGGACUGUAACUGACGCUGAGGCACGAAAGCGUGGGUAGCAAACAGGAUUAGAUACCCUGGUAGUCCACGCCGUAAACGAUGAGUACUAGGUGUAGGAGGUAUCGACCCCUUCUGUGCCGCAGUAAACACAUUAAAGUACUCCGCCUGGGAAGUA
rnacentral:rRNA from 1 species